CAGAGUCCUGGUAAAGUCCUUGACCCAGCAGCUGGUACAGGGAUGCAAGGAGGCGUCAAGACCAGCUUCUGCUGCAACAAACCCAUCAGACCAGGCUGAGACAGAGAGGGGGGCUGAGCAGAAAGCAAGAAGGAGCUUCCUUUGCUUUUCAAUGACCAAACUCAGGAUCAACUUCAAGCGUUCCAAGAGAGGAAACAAAAAGGACUGCCAUUCAGUCCAGGAACAGACUGAGAUUCCCUCUACUGAUGGACAUUGCAUAGCUCCAGUUGGAGAGGUUUCUCCCUCCAUAUCUCAGCCUGUCAAAAAACGAUCCUUGAUUGUCAGGGUCUUUUCAGCAAUGAUGAAGCCAUUCAGGCGCUUUACCAAGAAGAACCUGUAACCUGUUACGCUGCAUGAAGAACUACUUUUGUAACAGCAAGACUUUUGACAAGAGGAAUUUCUGCAUGUCUACCCUUUCAGAGUCUAUUUGAUCAAAUAAAUGGCAAUGAUUUUACAAGAAUUUCAAGUGUUUUGGA